rnacentral:rRNA from 1 species
GACGAACGCUGGCGGCGUGCUUAACACAUGCAAGUCGAACGAAGAGCGACGGAAGCUUGCUUCUAUCAAUCUUAGUGGCGAACGGGUGAGUAACGCGUAAUCAACCUGCCCUUCAGAGGGGGACAACAGUUGGAAACGACUGCUAAUACCGCAUACGAUCUAACCUCGGCAUCGAGGAUAGAUGAAAGGUGGCCUCUACAUGUAAGCUAUCACUGAAGGAGGGGAUUGCGUCUGAUUAGCUAGUUGGAGGGGUAACGGCCCACCAAGGCGAUGAUCAGUAGCCGGUGGGAGGGGAGGAACGGCCACUGGGGGACGGAAACACGCCCCAGACCCGACGGGGGGGAGGCGGGGGGGAAUCUUCCGAAAGGGAAGAAAGUCGGACGGAGCAACGCCGCGGGGGUGAGGAGGGCUUUGGGUUUGAAAAGUUUGUUUAAUGGGGAAAAAAGGCUUUUUUGCGAAAAGUGAGAAGGUUGGCGGGACCCGAAAAAGAAAGCCACGGCAAACUACGUG